CCUACGGUGGGCAGCAGUGGGGAAUAUUGCACAAUGGGGGAAACCCUGAUGCAGCGACGCCGCGUGAGUGAUGAAGUAUUUCGGUAUGUAAAGCUCUAUUGUCCGGGAAGAAAAUGACGGUAUCUGACUAAUAAGCCCCGGCUAACUACGUGCCAGCAGCCGCGGUAAUACGUAGGGGGCAAGCGUUACCCGGAGUUACUGGGGGUAAAGAGAGCGUAGACGGGAUAGUCAGUCAGAUGUGAAAACCCGGGGCUGAACUCCGGGAGUGCAUUGGAAACUGUUGCUCUAGAGUGUCGGAGAGGCAAGCGGAAUUCCGAGUGUAGCGGUAAAAUGCGUAGAUAUUAGGAGGAACACCAGUGGAGAAGGCGGCUUGCUGGACGAUGACUGACGUUGAGGCUCGAAAGCGUGGGGAGCAAACAGGAUUAGAUACCCUUGUAGUC
rnacentral:rRNA from 1 species